AAGAGGAGGUUCAGGAACAGCAGAGCUGUACUCAAGUUCAUCAGGAUUUUGGAGGGAUAGUCCCUUCGCAGUUUUCUGAAAAAGGGAAAAAGAAAGAAGAGAAGGAAUACUGUAAAUGAAAGUUUUGAGCACAAGCGGUUUAAAUGCAUUUUAUCCAUAGACACACAAUAAUGAUAAGUGAAGAUUCUAUAGCGAGAAAAUUUAUGUUGCAUGAUAAACAUUAUGAGAAACCUGAACAUGAAAGUUGAAUCACCCUCCAUGAUUUGAAAAGAUUAUCUAUCAUCGCUGUUAAUGCUACAAAAAAAAAAGACUCAUUUAUUUGAGAAAGAAAGUGAGCAGGUGUGGGGGCAGAGGGAGAGAGCCUCAUGCAGGCUCUAUACUGAGCACGGAAGCGAGGAGGAUGGACUCAAUAUCACGACUCAGAGAUCAUGACCUGAGCCAAAACUCAGGGUCACUUAACCAACUGCGCCACCCAAGUGCCCCCAUCCAGAACUUCUACCUUCUCUGAUUGCAUACAUGCCACCCUCUGUCGCUUCCCCUUCAGAGACAAGGUUAUCAGGAAAUCAAAUCAAUGAGUCCAUGCUGCAAA